AUACGGAGGAUGCGAGCGUUAUCCGGAUUUAUUGGGUUUAAAGGGUGCGUAGGCGGUCGGGUAAGCGUAGGGUGACAGUCCUCUGCUCAACAGAGGAAGUGCCUUCCGAACUGUCCGACUGGAAUGCUCCUGCCGUGGGAGGAAUGUGUGGCGUAGCGGUGAAAUGCAUAGAGAUCACACAGAACAACGAUUGCGAAGGCAUCUCACGAAGGGGCUAUUGACGCUGAGGCACGAAAGCGUGGGGAUCAAACAGGAUUAGAUACCCUGGUAGUCCACGCAGUAAACGAUGAUGACUAACCGUCGGUCAAGACUGAUCGGUGGCCAAGCGAAAGCGAUAAGUCAUCCACCUGGGGAGUACGACCGCAAGGUUGAAACUCAAAGGAAUUGACGGGG
rnacentral:rRNA from 1 species